rnacentral:lncRNA from 1 species
CAAAGCCAUCCAGGAAACCCCCACAGAGUCAAGGCCCUGUCUUGGUAGUCCAGAGACAGCUGCGUCUUUGGGGUGGGGCAGAGCAGACAAAUGCUCCCAACGGAGCAGAGACCCGAGGUCCUUCGGGACCCCAGGUGGUGGUGACAUCUGUGGGGGAACUGGACUGUGGGUGACGGGCAGGCACGCUGGACGGCCAGGGAAGAGUCCCCAUCAAGCCCAGGCCAGCCUCCAGGGGACGGACCACGCAAGGACCGGAAGACGGGGAUGACGCGGGGUGGGGCACGCUGACUGUGACUCAGAGAGAGGCCAGCAGGCCUGAGCACAGAACUUGACCAGCCAAGGAAGCCACAGAGUUGGCAGCUGAAAACACGAAGAGAGCGUCUGUCCUGCUGCCCUGGGAGCCUGGCACCUCCGUGUGUGGAGAGCUCCUAGACUUAGGACAAAGGACCAAGAGGUCAGGUAGGAGCCAGCCAAGGACACAAGAGACGUCACAAGGAGGAUAUCAGCCGGGCCUCGGCACGAGAGACGCCGCUGGUCUUCUGGGAGCCACAGUGAGGUCAACAGCUCCCGGAGGGUUUGUGUUGAUGAAGCGAGUCCCCCUGCCACUCAGCAGGUUGUAACGAAGGCUGUGAUCAUGCGCUGUGCUGGGCACUCGGUCCUUGUCCAGGGCAGGAUGGGGUUCAGGGCCAAACUCCCAUCCCUGUCUGGCAGGCAGGGCUGGUGUCCACCACAGUCUCCGUAGGCCGGUGAGCAGACAGCGGCUGCGCCCCCUCCUGCCUGCCCUCCCCGUCCCCCUCCUGCAGUUCACAGCCAGGACACGGGCUUCCCUGGAGCCCUUCAGAGUGGUGGGCGUGUGACACACUCGUUCAGACACACCUACUGGUACCCGUGGCAGAUGCCACAGGCAGAACCGUGAGCAGACGCAGCUUGAGAGAGCCACCUGGGGGCGGUGCGCCCGGCGCUGCAGCUCCGGGUCGGGAAGGGGUUCCCGAUCCCUGGUCCCACAGGCCGCGCUGCAAAGAUAUCGCCAGACAGGCAGGGAGCACACGCGCUUUUCCAUUUUGGGAAAUAGUCAGAUUUUAUAUUCCACCAAAAAUAGAAGUGGAAUUCUAGAAAGCAAAAAAAAAAAAGAAGGUGGGCUUGUGUACGUCCGGGAUUCCAGCCGACGGGCACAGAGCGCACGCUCAUCUCUCUGGAAUGCGGUCCCAGCAACAGGAGCUCUGGAAGCCUGGCCCUGCUCCCGGGCCUGCGCUGGCGGCUGCUGCCCCGGCCCUCUAUGGUGGGGUCUACCUGGGCCUGACGGCGGCAGGCACGGUCCCUCACCUGCAUCUGAGGGGACAGUGACUAACGUGAGGCCCUACCUGGUCUCGCUGCAGUUCUGCCUAGUAACCCCGUCACAAGUGCCCACAGUGGCCAGCACUGGACAGGAUUAUCCCGGAACACUGAGCGCCACGCCCACCAGUGGGUAGGCUCUGCCGCAGCGUGGCGGAAGCCGCGGCUCAGGGCUCAGACUCGCAGGUGCGCAUCACACAGCGCUUAGACAGCCACCUCGAGUCUCUUUUUACCUGCUUUGUUAGAACAUGUACAUUUUGUUGAUACGUGAUCUACAGAUGACCUCUCUGGCCAGAACACUGAGACCCAGGAAGGAACCUGUGUCCACGGAGGGAUCUGUCUCUCGUGCCUGAAGCCAGGCUGGUCUACCUGGGCCUUCAGUCAACCUGACCAACCACGUCAGUGUGCCCAAGCAGGACCCCUGCGUCACCUCAAUCGGGCAGAAGACAAGGACCUGUGGAAGUCAGCAAAGCAGGAACAGAAAGAACCUCCCUCCCCUCGCGGGGGGCAUCUACCUGACCACCCCACCAUUGAUGCUGCUCUUGGAGCAGAGUGGCUGGAAGUGUCCCCUCUGAGCCCGGGGUGGACGAGGAUGCCCUUUGCCAGAGCGCUGCUCAGCACUAGCUGGUGAAGCAGACCACGGAAGAGAGCAGUCAAGGACAAAGGGACUGGAGACCCAGAGAUGGCCGCCAUUGUUCCCCAGGAGAUGGAAGGCGGCUGAAUACCAGCUCCAUGGGAGAAUCGGUUGCGUUCUUUACAAACCAGAAGCCAGUGGUCACCAAAUAAAAACAGGACAUUAACAAUUUCCCUAAGCACCAGAUACCUAGGGAUAAAUCUAGGGGAAGUGUGGGGUCUCCCAGGAGACAGAGAGCAGCUGGGCCGGCGCCACGAGCAGGCGGGAGUACUCACAGCUCAGGGCAGUUCCAACAGAGGUCUAGCUGGGCCUUCGAAACUCCACCAGCCAAUCCAAACGCGCAGAAUGCCCAGUGCAGCCGUAAAAGCUGAAGGACCAAGGUCCUUGGUGGAGUCCAAAGGGAACUUGUGGGCUGCUUCAGAGCUGAGGCGGUGGCCUGGAGCAGGUGACAGUCCAGGGAGCACAUGUGGAUGCCUGACUCACUACCGAACCGGCGGAAAGGUGUGCUGCAGAGGCCCGUUCACAGAAGCCACCCAGGGCCCCGCGGCUGGCUGUGCGUGCUCCCCACCGCCGACACAUGGGCAGCAGUCGGAAGGCCACACACAGAAGGAACGAUGCUGAACACAAGGCCAGGCGCUGUCUGAUGUCAUGCAUGUCCAGGGAAAAACGGGCCCGACUAGUUGACAGAGGGCGGGAGGGCAGUGGGGACACUCUGGUCUUGUUCCGCCCCUUGCCCUGUUGCCCAGGCAGACAGCUGUGGCAUGGGACAUUCCCGUGUCCUAUACCCCAACAAAACGUGAAAAUCCAGGUAUGACGCCCCCUCAGCAGCUGCCACGGCUCCAGGGGCUCCCAUCUAAGAGUUGGCUGCACCUGGCAUUUGGUUAAAACCGUCAACCAGACCUUGAAAUGUGAGGUGGCUGCCACCCCCUGAGCAGCCUUAAACAGCCCCGGGGACGUCCAGCCCAGCCCUCUCCAGAAAGCUGCUGGGAGGCAGGAGGGAGAGGGCCCCCUAGCCCCCUCUGCCCAGCCAGCAUGAUAAUUAAGAGGGAAAUCAGUAAAACAGAGACAAGGAGAGAGAGAAGCCCUCGGUGCCUGGUCCUGGGCCGCAGAGCAGCGCGUCCCGGGAGCCAGGAUGCUUUUGUAGCUGCUCAAACAAACCAACCCAGCAGCCCCAGGCAGAAGGUGGCGACUUGGCUGGACUCACGGACUUGUGUUCUCGUCCGGCCCCAAGGAGGCCGUGAGGUUGGCAGCACCCAGGCCCUCAGUGCCGGUCCUCCGCUCGCAGGGUGGUCUGUCCGUCAGGUCCUGCUGUCACGUGUGAUGACGCCCUGGUCAGGCCCUGGGAACCUGCAUCCUGUGAACCUUCUGCACAGCCUCCUCCGGACCUGCAGCACCUGUGUUUCCUGUUUUGAAAUUACUGAGGGUGGUGCUGGGCUGGGGCUCAGGGGUAGAGCGCUCACCUAGCACGUGUCAGGCCUGGGUUCCAUCCUCAGCACCACAUAAAAAUGAAAAUCAAAAAUUAAAACGUCUCGGCAUCAUCAUUUAUUGAAGUCAG